rnacentral:rRNA from 1 species
UACGUAGGGGGCAAGCGUUGUCCGGAAUCAUUGGGCGUAAAGAGCGCGUAGGCGGUCCGGUAAGUCCGCUGUGAAAGUCGGGGGCUCAACCCUCGAAUGCCGGUGGAUACUGCCGGGCUAGAGUCCGGAAGAGGCGAGUGGAAUUCCUGGUGUAGCGGUGAAAUGCGCAGAUAUCAGGAGGAACACCAAUGGCGAAGGCAGCUCGCUGGGACGUGACUGACGCUGAGACGCGAAAGCGUGGGGAGCAAACAGG